GAUGAACGCUGGCGGCGUGCCUAAUACAUGCAAGUCGAGCGAACAGACGAGGAGCUUGCUCCUCUGACGUUAGCGGCGGACGGGUGAGUAACACGUGGAUAACCUACCUAUAAGACUGGGAUAACUUCGGGAAACCGGAGCUAAUACCGGAUAAUAUAUUGAACCGCAUGGUUCAAUAGUGAAAGACGGUUUUGCUGUCACUUAUAGAUGGAUCCGCGCCGCAUUAGCUAGUUGGUAAGGUAACGGCUUACCAAGGCAACGAUGCGUAGCCGACCUGAGAGGGUGAUCGGCCACACUGGAACUGAGACACGGUCCAGACUCCUACGGGAGGCAGCAGUAGGGAAUCUUCCGCAAUGGGCGAAAGCCUGACGGAGCAACGCCGCGUGAAUGAUGAAGGUCUUCGGAUCGUAAAACUCUGUUAUUAGGGAAGAACAAAUGUGUAAGUAACUAUACACGUCUUGACGGUACCUAAUCAGAAAGCCACGGCUAACUACGUG
rnacentral:rRNA from 1 species